rnacentral:misc_RNA from 1 species
UCUCCGUUGGUGAACCAGCGGAGGGAUCAUUAAAGGAGCUUUAAACACUCCCAAACCCACUGUUAAACUUACCUUUACGUUGCUUCGGCAGGCAGCCCCAGGGCGGGGCUGUAGCCUUUUAGGUGCCUGCCGAAGUCUUUUAAAACUCGUCAUUUAUAGUGUCUGAGUAUCUAUACAAAUAAAUCAAAACUUUCAACAACGGAUCUCUUGGUUCUGGCAUCGAUGAAGAACGCAGC